rnacentral:rRNA from 1 species
UACGAAGGGAGCUAGCGUUGUUCGGAAUUACUGGGCUUGAAGCGCGCGUAGGCGGCCCCGCAAGUGCGGUGUGAAAUCCCACGGCUUACCCGUGGAACCGCGCCGUGUACUACGGGGCUAGAGGAUGGUAGAGGAGGGCGGAACUCUUGGUGGAGCGGUGAAAUGCGUAGAGAUCAAGAGGAACACCGGUGGCGAAGGCGGCCCUCUGGUCCAUUACUGACGCUGAGGCGCGAAAGCUAGGGGAGCAAACGGG